GACAGAGGGUGCAAGCGUUGUUCGGAAUUACUGGGCAUAAAGCGCACGUAGGCGGUUCGCUAAGUCUGUCGUGAAAUCCCCCGGCUCAACCGGGGAAUAGCGUCGGAUACUGGCGAGCUCGAGGUCGAUAGGGGUAAGCGGAACUCCAGGUGGAGCGGUGAAAUGCGUAGAUAUCGGGAGGAACACCGGUGGCGAAGGCGGCUUCCUGGACUGUCCCUGACGCUGAGGCGCGAAAGCGUGGGUAGCAAACAGG
rnacentral:rRNA from 1 species